CGGCCUUUGUCCUUGCAGGUUUUCAAGACCAGGCUGGAUAAAGCCCUGAGCAACCUGGUCACAGCUGACCCUGCUUUGAGCAGGGGGUUGGGAUGGAGACUUCCUGAGCACCCUGCCUGUCUGAAUUGUCCCAUGAGCCCUCUGGAAGCCUGUGACUGGGAAGUUAUUUCUGCUGUGUUUUGAUACUUCUGCUUUUCCAGCAGCCUGCCUACAGCUGAGUCCUCCAGCCUCUGUGGUUCACGUGCACUGAAAUCUUUGCCUGCACAGGGACUUGUCUCUUGAAUUCUGUGCUCAUCCUCCUAUGGUCCCUAAACCUGAGAGUGCCCACGAGGCCUGGGACUGGUGCAGGAGCAGCCGGUGCUUGGCCAGGAGACUGCAGACCUGGGACCUGCCUCCUCUCCAGGACCAGCCUGGGGCUUUGCUUUCGGAGCUCAGCAGGAGACCACGCAAUACUCUAGACAACUUGGAUUUCACUUGAAAUCUGUCUGGCAGGACCUGGCUUCCAGCCUGCUUGGAACCGUGGCCCAUGGAGAUUAAUGACAUGGAAAAUGAGGAACGCUGACCGUAAAGCUCUGAAAUUGUGGGAAAAGACAGCUUAGAGCCAGCCUUUGGUGAGGAGGUGUGUGACUUGUUCUGGGAUGGUGUUUGGAGAGGCAAAGGCUCCUGCUGCUCUUACAGGGGAAUGGCCUCAUAUUUAACAAGAACGUCUUUAAAAAAGUCUGUCUCUCUGCUCACAAAGGAGCUGGACUGUCUCAAGUACAGCAAGUCCUUUCCUUCCCCUCCCAGAGGGUGUGAUCCAGGUUUCCGCGGUCAAGAACGUGUUCCUGAAAAUAUGGGACAGCACGGGCUGGAGCAGGGAAUCAACCAGAAACUCCAGUCUCCGAUUUCACCUCCCGACGUGGAGAGGGCACGUCCCUGCCCUGUGCCCCAGCUUUCCUGCCCAUAAAUCAGCAGCUUCCUCGUGUGUUUUGGGGAGCUGUGAGCCGUGAUAACCAGCGUGCAGUGGGUGUGAGCCAUCCUCACUGCUUCCUGAGGGUUUCUGUGCAGUGCCAAACACUAGGGAUGUUCUGCUGCUGCUUUUGGGGACACUAAACAAUCUCUCAGGCUCCAGUCUGGUGUGUCUUGGUCAUGCAUUUGUGGCCAGACUGGUGAUGGGACGAUGGUGCUCACCCUGCUCAGGCUGUCAGGGAGAUUUGGGGGGUCUCAAGCAGCAGGAGGAACAGGGAAUGGGGAUGCAGGUGGUGGCUGUUCCCUGGGUGGGAUGUCGCUCUGGACUGAUCCAUCAGUAGAAGACAGAUGAAAUGCAGAUUCAAAAUCCUAUUUGUGUCCAGAUGACAGGCUUUCAGCUGGGAAAGUCCUCUGAGCAAAGUGCAUCUCUCCAGCAGGCAGGUAUAAUUCAC